CUCCUGCUGGGUUUCCUCGAGGGUCCCGGGGCUCCUGCAUGAUCCCCCCCCCGCGUUCUCCCUCUUGCAGCCGUGGAGCAACUGCGUGUGCACGUCAGACGGCACAAGGGGGUGAGGAAGUUUGAGUGCACCGAGUGUGGCUACAAGUUUACCCGACAGGUAGGCCAGGGCCCGGGCCCCUUCCCCUACCCUAGGAUCCCCCGAAGUCCUGAGCUCACCCUCCCCGCCAGGCCCACCUGCGGAGGCACAUGGAGAUCCACGACCGGGUGGAGAACUACAACCCGCGGCAGCGCAAGCUCCGCAACCUGAUCAUCGAGGACGAGAAGAUGGUGGUGGUGGCGCUGCAGCCGCCUGCAGAGCUGGAGGUGGGCUCGGCGGAGGUCAUUGUGGAGUCCCUGGCCCAGGGCGGCCUGGCCUCCCAGCUCCCCGGCCAGAGACUGUGUGCAGAGGAGAGCUUCACCGGCCCAGGUGUCCUGGAGCCCUCCCUCAUCAUCACAGCUGCUGUCCCCGAGGACUGUGACACAUAGCCCACUCUGGCCACCAGAGCCCACUUGGCCCCACCCCUCAAUAAACCGUGUGGCUUUGGACUCUCGUA
rnacentral:sRNA from 1 species